UUUUGCGCAAUGGGGGCAACCCUGACGCAGCAACGCCGCGUGGGUGAAGAAGGCCUUCGGGUCGUAAAGCCCUGUCAGGUGGGAAGAAAGGGCGAGAGAGGAAAGGCUUUUGCUUUGACGGUACCACCAGAGGAAGCACCGGCUAACUCCGUGCCAGCAGCCGCGGUAAUACGGAGGGUGCAAGCGUUAUUCGGAAUUACUGGGCGUAAAGCGCGUGCAGGCGGGGGAGGUAAGUCUGAUGUGAAAGCCCGGGGCUCAACCCCGGAAGGGCAUUGGAAACUGCCCCUCUUGAGUACCGGAGAGGAAGGGAGAAUUCCCGGUGUAGAGGUGAAAUUCGUAGAGAUCGGGAGGAACACCAGUGGCGAAGGCGCCCUUCUGGACGGUAACUGACGCUGAGACGCGAAAGCGUGGGGAGCAAACAGG
rnacentral:rRNA from 1 species